rnacentral:rRNA from 1 species
UGCUUUUUAGAGACCGGCGGAUGGGUGAGUAACGCGUAUGCAACCUNCCUUUUACAGGGGAAUAGCCCGGAGAAAUUCGGAUUAAUGCUCCAUGGUUUAUAGAUGUGGCAUCACGUUUAUAAUAAAGAUUUAUCGGUAAAAGAUGGGCAUGCGUAUCAUUAGCUAGUUGGUGUGGUAACGGCAUACCAAGGCGACGAUGAUUAGGGGUCCUGAGAGGGAGAUCCCCCACACUGGUACUGAGACACGGACCAGACUCCUACGGGAGGCAGCAGUGAGGAAUAUUGGUCAAUGGAGGCAACUCUGAACCAGCCAUGCCGCGUGCAGGAUGACGGUCCUAUGGAUUGUAAACUGCUUUUGUACGGGAAGAAAUGUAAUUACGAGUAAUUAUUUGACGGUACCGUAAGAAUAAGGAUCGGCUAACUCCGUGCCAGCAGCCGCGGUAAUACGGAGGAUCCGAGCGUUAUCCGGAAUUAUUGGGUUUAAAGGGUUCGUAGGCGGUUUAGUAAGUCAGUGGUGAAAUCUUGCAGCUUAACUGUAAAAUUGCCGUUGAUACUGCUAAACUUGAAUAGUAUGGAAGUAAUUAGAAUAUGUAGUGUAGCGGUGAAAUGCUUAGAUAUUACAUGGAAUACCAAUUGCGAAGGCAGAUUACUACGUACUUAUUGACGCUGAUGAACGAAAGCGUGGGUAGCGAACAGGAUUAGAUACCCUGGUAGUCCACGCCGUAAACGAUGGAUACUAGCUGUUCGGUCUUCGGAUUGAGUGGCUAAGCGAAAGUGAUAAGUAUCCCACCUGGGGAGUACGUUCGCAAGAAUGAAACUCAAAGGAAUUGACGGGGGCCCGCACAAGCGGUGGAGCAUGUGGUUUAAUUCGAUGAUACGCGAGGAACCUUACCAAGGCUUAAAUGUAGAUUGACAGGUUUAGAGAUAGACUUUCCUUCGGGCAAUUUACAAGGUGCUGCAUGGUUGUCGUCAGCUCGUGCCGUGAGGUGUCAGGUUAAGUCCUAUAACGAGCGCAACCCCUAUUGUUAGUUGCCAGCGGGUCAUGCCGGGAACUCUAACAAGACUGCCGGUGCAAACCGUGAGGAAGGUGGGGAUGACGUCAAAUCAUCACGGCCCUUACGUCUUGGGCUACACACGUGCUACAAUGGCCAGUACAGAAAGCAGCUACCAGGCAACUGGAUGCGAAUCUCAAAAGCUGGUCUCAGUUCGGAUUGGAGUCUGCAACUCGACUCUAUGAAGCUGGAAUCGCUAGUAAUCGGAUAUCAGCCAUGAUCCGGUGAAUACGUUCCCGGGCCUUGUACACACCGCCCGUCAAGCCAU